ACCCGCUGAACUUAAGCAUAUCAAUAAGCGGAGGAAAAGAAACCAACAGGGAUUGCCCUAGUAACGGCGAGUGAAGCGGCAACAGCUCAAAUUUGAAAUCUGGCCCUCUCAGGGUCCGAGUUGUAAUUUGUAGAGGGUGCUUUGGCGUUGGCUGUGGUCUAAGUUCCUUGGAACAGGACGUCGCAGAGGGUGAGAAUCCCGUAUGUGGCCGCCAGCCUCCGCCGUGUAAAGCCCCUUCGACGAGUCGAGUUGUUUGGGAAUGCAGCUCUAAAUGGGAGGUAAAUUUCUUCUAAAGCUAAAUAUUGGCCAGAGACCGAUAGCGCACAAGUAGAGUGAUCGAAAGAUGAAAAGCACUUUGGAAAGAGAGUCAAAAAGCACGUGAAAUUGUUGAAAGGGAAGCGCUUGCAGCCAGACUUGCCCGCAGUUGCUCAUCCAGGCUCCCGCCUGGUGCACUCUUCUGCGGGCAGGCCAGCAUCAGUCCGGGCGGUUGGAUAAAUGCCUGCUAAAUGUACCUCUCCUCGGGGAGGACUUAUAGGGUAGGCGGCAUACAACCAGCCCGGAUUGAGGUCCGCGCUUCGGCUAGGAUGCUGGCGUAAUGGCUGU
rnacentral:rRNA from 1 species